UUUUGCCCCCACCGGUUGCUGAGGGGAAAACAAUGGCUGUCUUGGUCAUUAUGACACCUGCUGAACGAAGGCAGCAUUUCUGAAGGUAAAAGAUGUGAUGAAAAGUUGACAACAUUACACUCGCCAGUCGUCAUCAUGCCAAAAUGUACUCAGGAAGCAGGAGUAUCCACUUUUAGAGGACCCAAAUUAAAUGAAGACUGGCCUCCGAAGAUGAAGCACACACAUGGUUGAAAGACUUUGGAGGAAGCUUAGAACGUAUCCAACUACUGGAUGUCAGAAGGCCUUCAGGAGACAGGAGAUGGCAUGCAGGUAAUGUGAUCAUUUAUUAGCACAAAACAAAAACUAGUGCAUCUACGGAGUGCACACAGAACAAAAACUAGUGCAGCUACGGAGUGCACACGAACAAAAACUAGUGUAGCUACGGAGUGCACACAGAACAAAAACUAGUGCAUCUACGGAGUGCACACAGAACAGAAACUAGUGCAGCUACGGAGUGCACACAGAACAAAAGCUAGUGCAUCUACGGAGUGCACACAGAACAAAAGCUAGUGCAGCUUUGGAGUGCACACAGAACAAAAACUAGUGCAGCUGUGGAGUGCACACAGAACAAAAGCUAGUGCAGCUAUGGAGUGCACACUGAACAAAAGCUAGUGCAGCUAUGGAGUGCACACAGAACAAAAGCUAGUGCAGCUAUGGAGUGCACACAGAACAAAAGCUAGUGCAACUAGGGAGUGCAGAGAGGCUAGAGAACAGGGCUGGCAUAUAAAGCAUGGCGUUGGUGACCGAGAACAGGUGUGUCCUGAUUGCAAAUCAUGGACAUGUGAGGAAGCCAGCGCCCGGACUGGAGAAUAGUGGGGAAAAGAGGCAAACAGGAAAUGAAAAAAAAAAGUACAAGAACAUUUAAAAAAAAAAAAAAAAAGUCCAAAUCUGUCAUGACAAAUUAUAUUUUUGUUUAUUUAAUAUUAUAUAGAAUACAAUACUGAAAAUAACAUAAUAAAAUGUGCUGAUGAGGCGUAAAAGCCUCUGGUUUAUACUGACGGUAAUUUGAGGAAAAUUAUCAAACGAUUUGAAGUUCUUCGGCACCUUCUACUUUAACAAAACAUGUCCGCAGACUGUAUAUAGUAUAGCCUAUAAUGCAAUCAUUUCUAUUUAAGUUGAGUGUGAGCUGCCAUUCUUUGUCGGGAUGCACACCAGAAGGUUUGCUUGCCAACCGCCAUUAGACCAAAAAAGAAGAAGAAGAUUCUUUGUCCGGACUUUGUUUAGAACGUACAUUCAUUCAUGUGGACGCUCUUUCCUCCGGCCGUGAGUUUUGCUGUGUUCCAGCAUUCUGUUCUAUUGCAAACUGGCAGUUUUAGUUUAGUUUUUGCAUAACCUUCCCUAUAUUUCAGUGACCUUCUAAACCAGACCUGGGCAAAAUACGGCCCGUGGGCCACAUGUGGCCCAUUAAGAUUUUCAAUCCAGCCCGCCGGACAUUCUACAUAAUAGUUUUAGACCUUUAACAUUAAAACUGUAGCCGCCAUUAUGAUGUGCAGUGAUGUUUUUAAAUGACCGUAAGUCUUGAACUAUAGAAAGUAUUUCAGUGGUCGAAAUCUGCGCUUUUGAGUGUUAUGUUUGUCAGAAACCGAUGCGGAAGCACAUUGUUACGUGAUAAUAUAUAAUAUUGUAGGUGUUUAAUAGACUUUGCAUUCAUAUUUUGCUGUUUGUUACAUUUUUGCUGUGUUUUGCUUGAUUGUAAAAGAUACACAACUAUCAAGGAGCUGGUCUGAGAAGUAAAAAGAGUAAUGUUCAUAUGUUGGUAAUAUUCAGUGUUUUAUUGUUCAUACUUAGUUGAUAUUGUGAAUCCCACUUUCUUUAUUUUCAUGUACACUUUGGGUGUCCCAUUCAGUAAAAAACGGUAAAAUUCCAUUCCGUUAAAAUAUUUUAUUUUUUAUUUGUCAUUAACGUUUUUAGAACUCUAUCCGACAUUUUGACUUUUGGUGUUAGUGUUCCUGAAAAAACUGACCUAAACACACAAACUCUACAACAGAUCUUUACAGCUAAAUGUGUAUAUAUCAUUUAUACACACAUACACAUUGGAAUCCCCCAGACACAUUUUUUCUCUCAAUGUGGCCCCCCGAGUCAAAAUACUUGCCCAGCUCUCUUCUCAACGGUACUCAUCUUUUGUUUGUCUUUAUCAUUACAUGAAAUAGUUAUUUACCUGCACAUUGCGUCCUCGGUCUUCUGCAUCUUGGGAACACGCCAGUCAUCGCAGUCAUGCGACC